GACGAACGCUGGCGGCAUGCUUAACACAUGCAAGUCGAACGGAAAGGCCUCUUUCGGGGGGUGCGCGCGUGUCGCACACGUGAGUAACACAUGAGUAUCAUCCCCUCUACUUUGUGGUAAAUCCACAGGAAUGUGGCGCAUACCCCGUAGAGGCUCCUCCGCCGUGGGGGGGGGUGGAGAAUGUCUUGGCGGUUGGGGAUGGUCUCGCGGCUUAUCCGUUUGUUGGUGGGGUCGUGGUUUAACAAGGUUUUGACGGGUAGCCGGCCAGAGAGGGUGACCGGCCACAUUGGGACUGAGAUACGGCCCAGACUCCUACGGGAGGCAGCAGUGGGGAAUAUUGCACAAUGGGUGGAAGCCUGAUGCAGCAACGCCGUGUGCGGGAUGACGGCCUUCGGGUUGUAAACCGCUUUCGCUCAUGACGAAGCUUUGUGUGACGGGAGUGGGUAAAGAAGCACCGGCUAACUACGU
rnacentral:rRNA from 1 species